GCGGCGAGUAAGCAAACAUCUGCACCUUAAUUUGAUCCAAAAACUACUUUAUCAAAAUAAAAUAGUCACUAGUUGAAAGAAAGUUGAGAAAGCCAAGCCAGUCAUGGUAUAAAUGAAGAAGCAAACAGGGAAGAAGACAAAAAAAAAAAAAAUUUAUAUCCCAGAUUUGGUCAACUUCUCCAUGGCACAAAUAGGGGUCCAGAACUAUAGAUCUUUCAUGUACUGCCAGGCUUGGAUCCCCGGAAAAUUUAUUCCAAGCACCCUCUCAGAAGUUUAUUCCUUGCAAGCAGAGUGGAACUGCCAAGAAUGUUGUCAGAUGACUAAAACUCUCGUCCCUU
rnacentral:misc_RNA from 1 species